rnacentral:rRNA from 1 species
GAUGAACGCUGGCGGCGUGCCUAAUACAUGCAAGUCGAGCGAACAGAUAAGGAGCUUGCUCCUUUGACGUUAGCGGCGGACGGGUGAGUAACACGUGGGUAACCUACCUAUAAGACUGGAAUAACUCCGGGAAACCGGGGCUAAUGCCGGAUAACAUUUAGAACCGCAUGGUUCUAAAGUGAAAGAUGGUUUUGCUAUCACUUAUAGAUGGACCCGCGCCGUAUUAGCUAGUUGGUAAGGUAACGGCUUACCAAGGCAACGAUACGUAGCCGACCUGAGCGGGGGAUAGGCCACACUGGAACUGAGACACGGUCCAGACUCCUACGGGAGGCAGCAGUAGGGAAUCUUCCGCAAGGGGCGAAAGCCUGACGGAGCAACGCCGCGUGAGUGAUGAAGGUCUUCGGAUCGUAAAACUCUGUUAUUAGGGAAGAACAAAUGUGUAAGUAACUGUGCACGUCUUGACGGUACCUAAUCAGAAAGCCACGGCUAACUACGUG